ensembl:lncRNA
CUGGCCAAGAUCAAGCAAAGCAGUGAGACACAGACAACAACAACAGAGUUCCACACAAACAAACGUGCAGUCAAUAACACUAACGAGAAGUCUAUGUACGGUGUGUGCAGAUGUAGAAGAGUAGGGAGAGAGGUUCUUUCUGCCGGUGUCGUUACCCCAGCCGCCUCUUCAACCCUCCUCCGUCCCCCCCAGUUCCACCCCCCAGAGUAGCUCCCGGGAGGGGGGCAGGGACCGAGACAUACUCUACCGCGAGGAGAGGGAGAGAGAGGAGCCUCAGGAGGGGGGCAGAGCCCGAGACAGACUCUACCGUGUGGCGAGGGAGAGAGAGGAGCCCCAGGAGGGGGGCAGGGACCGAGACAGACUCUGCUGUGAGGAGAGAGAGGAGCCUCAGGAGGGGGGCAGGGACCGAGACAGACUCUACCACGAGGAGAGAGAGGAGCCCCGGGAGGGGGGCAGAGACAGACUCUACCGCGAGGAGAGAGGGCGAGGCGAGAGGGAGCGGUCGAGAGAGGAGCCUCGUCCAUACAGUGUGGUAGAUCUGACACAGGAUGGGAGGAGUGGAGAGAGAGAACGCCACAGAGAACGAGAGACUGAGCGAGACAGAGACCGAGAGAGAGAGGUUCUCCUCCACCACCCCUCUGCUUCUCGACCCCCCAGGGCUCCUCCUCUUCUGGGCGUUACCCAGAGACUGAUGACACACCCACUCGCUCCCCCAACCCUAACCCCAGCCCCCACACACACACAGACAGGCUGAGGAAGACUGAAUCUACCUACAGCGGUGCACUCCUUCCUGGCCCCGCCUACCCUGCACACCGGGAGCCUAUCAGGGAACAGCGUGUGAGCGCGCCCACUUACGUGCCUUCUGUGGAGGUCUAUGAUGAGCAGGUCGGCCCGAUCCAGAUCGCAUCGCAGGCCAGGGACAAACAGGACAAACUGAAAGAGAGAGAGAAAGAGAG